AACGAACGCUGGCGGCAGGCUUAACACAUGCAAGUCGAACGCCCCGCAAGGGGAGUGGCAGACGGGUGAGUAACGCGUGGGAACAUACCCCAAGGUUCGGAACAACUCCGGGAAACUGGAGCUAAUACCGAAUGUGACCGAGAGGUGAAAGAUUUAUCGCCUUGGGAUUGGCCCGCGUUAGAUUAGCUAGUUGGUGGGGUAAUGGCCUACCAAGGCUACGAUCUAUAGCUGGUCUGAGAGGAUGAUCAGCCACACUGGGACUGAGACACGGCCCAGACUCCUACGGGAGGCAGCAGUGGGGAAUCUUGGACAAUGGGCGCAAGCCUGAUCCAGCCAUGCCGCGUGAAUGAUGAAGGCCUUAGGGUUGUAAAAUUCUUUCGGCGGGGAAGAUAAUGACGGUACCCGCAGAAGAAGCCCCGGCUAACUUCGUGCCAGCCGCCGCAGUAAUAC
rnacentral:rRNA from 1 species